rnacentral:lncRNA from 1 species
UCAAUAUUAUCCAAUUUGUUAUUGUGAUUUGCAACUGCGUUAAAAUGCCACCAGGUGUCAGCUCACUCAGCUGUUUAUCAUUCGCUGUUUGGUCAAAUUUUGCUUUUGAACUGAUACGAUACCAGACAUACCAGAUACGAUAUUUGAUUUAUAUUUAUACGACCACAAACUGAUACUUGGAUCAAAAUGUCUUCUGAAUCUGAUUUAAAUUCUGAUUUUAAUGAGAGCGUAGCAAAUGACGUUGCAGGCAAAAGAUUGAAAAAAGCCAAGGCACAAAGGAAAAAAGAGAGGUAGGAACUUAAAAAUUUGCAAAGAAGAACAAUUAAGAAAAAAAGAAGAAUCUAAAAAGAGAUUAACAGCUUUCAAAGAAGUUUUCAAAGGUGCCAAGGAGAAGGAAACCAGGAACGAGCCAUGGGGUGUUCUAGAGUACCAAAACUACUGGAAUGGUCUAACGGAGAGGGAACCAAAUAACAUGGACAGAGCUAAAUCUCACUUGAUUGAGAGCAUUAAUAGGAAGAUAACCAAAGCAGCAACAAAGUAUAAUGCUUCGAUGCUCCUUUUGGUCAGACUUCCUAAUGGAACACAGCACACCAAAUUUAUUUUGGCAAGCGGAGGAGGUAUUGACUACUGCAAAGAGAGAAGAUGGUACGCUUACUCAACAUUUAUGGGAACGUCACUGGGACAAGGUUCAAGGAAAAAGGAUGAAACUUUGUAAAAAAGAGGAAGUGUGGCUUGCAAGGAAAAGUAAAAAGAACAAAAUAGGUACAUGACAAUAAUUUAUUUCUUUUGAUUCUGUCAUCGGUUCCAACACUAAAUAUUUCAACCAUUUUGUUUAGGAAAUAUGACAAAAGGGAAAAACGGACAAAGUUUUGAAUAAAAAUAAACCUACAAGUGAAACAGAAGAAGACUGGAAUCUAGGAGAGGAUGACGGGCGAUCAUACGAAAGCGAUGUUGAUAAAAAAAUCAAGAGGAAGAAGGAAAAAAAAGGUUGUCUCGAGAAAGAAAAGGAAAGGGAAAGAAAAAAGGUGAAAUAAAAGGGACAGGAAAUAUAGGAGAGGCAAGAGAGGAAGACUCCUUAGUACAGCAUCCAGGAUCCCCUCCUGCUCGUUCUCCGUCAUUGUCUCCGCCCCCAUCCAAUCAUCCCUUUUCUCUCAUGGCCACACCGUCUACUUCGUCAUCACCUGCUGCUUCGACAAAUUUUCAGCUUGUCCUUUCAGAUGGCAACGAUCUGGUUAUUUUACAUUGAAACCUGCAUCACCAUCAAAAGACAAAAAACUAUCAAUGGAAUGCAAAGUGAUUCUUGAAAAAUUGCCACCUACGAAUGCAACAGUAUUCAUAUUACAGGAACAUGAAUCAUUUGGCAUGCCAUCAUCAUCCAGAGGAAAAGCAGUCAGAAGCGGCAAAGGUAGAAGAGGCGGAGCGGGUAGAAAAUUCAAAAUACAGGAUCACGAAUCAUUUGACAUACCAUCAUCAUCCAGAGGAAAAUCAGUCAGAGGCGGCAAAGGUAGAAGAGCCGGAACUGGUAGAAACCCUGGAACAAAAACUGAAGACAAAUCUAGUUCUCAAAUUUCUCCUAUAACAAAGGUGAACAAAC